CGCGCCCGUGGGGAGGCGAGCAGCGCGCCGAUGCUGAUGGCGCCGGCCGACUGGCCGAAGACGGUGACACGGUCGGGGUCGCCGCCGAAAGCCGCGA
rnacentral:tRNA from 1 species